GCCAAACGCCCAGGAACAGGCUGGCCACUUGAGCCUCAUAAAACGGGGCAGGCUUCUUCCUGGUCUUUCCCAGAUCUCAUCUCCUUCCUGUGAGCAAGACUGAAGCAUUUCUGGUUAGGACUGAGGUCGGACUCUGCAGCCUGCCAAGCCCAUCUUCAAAGGGACGUGAGGGGAGCCGCCUCCUGCUCGGGGAGAAGCAGGCGGGCACGGGGACCCCCGGGCGCUUCUCGGGGUGCUUCUCUGAACUCCAACACAGAAUUCAGACAGUGGCAGGGGGGCAGAGAAGGACCAGGAAGGCCUCCCGGGGCCCAUGGGGCAUCUCCGCUCCCCGUGAGCCAGGGCCAGGCCCCUCGCCACGCAGCCCGCCGGGCCCCCCAGAAAGAUGGAAGCUGCCGGAGCACUGGGCUGUCUCACGGCUGGGCCUGCUGUUUCCAAUGGGCCACGCGGCGUCAUUGGUAAGAGAUCAUUCGUUCUCUAAGAGGCGAGAAGGUCUUCUCCACACCGGGAGUCGUCUAGAGGACCAUGGCCACCAGGAGCUUCCCUCCUUCUCUGCUCCUCCCUCCCUCCAACAAAAGGGAGAGAAGCAUGAAAAGACAGAGAAGGGGCACGUGGGGCCUCCCGGGCUGGCUCCAGCUAUCUUGAGCUCUGGGCUGGGCCCUGCUUACCUUCAACAAAAGAGGGAGAAGACCAGGCAACACCCCGAGGGCCAUCUGGGACCCCCACCUUUACCCACCAGUCCCUGACCCACCACUUGGCCAGGGAGACGCCCCCGUUCCCCAAGUCCCCCCAAUAAGGAUUUCCCUCCUCAGUUGGCCCCUGUCCUCCGAAUUCUCCACAGAGAUGGGGAGAGGGAAGGGCUCCCUGCGGGGCCUCUUGGCCGCCCCCCCAAGCCUUUCCAUGUAUCUCUGCCUAUCUCCUGCAAAGCUCCUGAGCCUCCCCGAUCCUUAUCACCCUCCUAAUGGCCGCAGCUGGCUCCGCCGCACAAGCUGACCCAGAAAACAGC
rnacentral:lncRNA from 1 species